rnacentral:rRNA from 1 species
AUUGAACGCUGGCGGCAUGCCUUACACAUGCAAGUCGAACGGCAGCACGGGUGCUUGCACCUGGUGGCGAGUGGCGAACGGGUGAGUAAUACAUCGGAACAUGUCCUGUAGUGGGGGAUAGCCCGGCGAAAGCCGGAUUAAUACCGCAUACGAUCUACGGAUGAAAGCGGGGGACCUUCGGGCCUCGCGCUAUAGGGUUGGCCGAUGGCUGAUUAGCUAGUUGGUGGGGUAAAGGCCUACCAAGGCGACGAUCAGUAGCUGGUCUGAGAGGACGACCAGCCAGGGGGGGGUGGAGACAGGCCCCAGCACCCGGGGGGGGGAGGCGUGGGGAAUGUUUGGAGAAGGGGGGAGAGUUUAAUCCAGAAGGCCCGCGUGUUUGAAGAGGCCUUUGGGGUGUAAAAGAAUUUUUGUCGGGAAAAAAAGCUUGGCCCCAAAUCGGGUGGGGGGAUGAGGGUCCGGAAAGAAUAAGCCCCGGCUAACUCGGUG